rnacentral:rRNA from 1 species
UGGGGAAUCUUGGACAAUGGGGGCAACCCUGAUCCAGCCAUGCCGCGUGAGUGAUGAAGGCCUUAGGGUCGUAAAGCUCUUUCGCCUGUGAAGAUAAUGACGGUAGCAGGUAAAGAAACCCCGGCUAACUCCGUGCCAGCAGCCGCGGUAAUACGGAGGGGGUUAGCGUUAUUCGGAUUUAUUGGGCGUAAAGGGCGCGUAGGCGGCUUGAUAAGUCAAAGGUGAAAUCCCUCGGCUCAACCGGGGGAACUGCCUUUGAAACUGUCUGGCUAGAGUUCGGGAGAGGGUAGGGGGAAUUCCUAGUGUAGCGGUGAAAUGCGUAGAUAUUAGGAGGAACACCAGUGGCGAAGGCGCCUACCUGGACCGAUACUGACGCUGAGGUGCGAAAGCGUGGGGAAGCAAACAGGAUUAGAUACCCUGGUAGUCCACGCUGUAAAACGAUGGUCACUCGGUGCUGCGGGUAUCGA